rnacentral:rRNA from 1 species
UACGAAGGGGGCUAGCGUUGCUCGGAAUCACUGGGCGUAAAGCGCACGUAGGCGGGUCGUUAAGUCGGGGGUGAAAUCCUGGAGCUCAACUCCAGAACUGCCUUUGAUACUGGCGACCUUGAGUCCGGGAGAGGUGAGUGGAACUGCGAGUGUAGAGGUGAAAUUCGUAGAUAUUCGCAAGAACACCAGUGGCGAAGGCGGCUCACUGGCCCGGUACUGACGCUGAGGUGCGAAAGCGUGGGGAGCAAACAGG